AAAAUUGGAACGAUACAGAGAAGAUUAGCAUGGCCCCUGCACAAGGAUGACAUGCAAAUUCGUGAAGGUUUCCAUUUUUUU
rnacentral:snRNA from 1 species